UCGGAUGGAAUUUGAUUGACUGAGUGGCGGACGGGUGAGUAACGCGUGGAUAACCUGCCUCACACUGGGGGAUAACAGUUAGAAAUGACUGCUAAUACCGCAUAAGCGCACAGUACCGCAUGGUACGGUGUGAAAAACUCCGGUGGUGUGAGAUGGAUCCGCGUCUGAUUAGCCAGUUGGCGGGGUAACGGCCCACCAAAGCGACGAUCAGUAGCCGACCUGAGAGGGUGACCGGCCACAUUGGGACUGAGACACGGCCCAAACUCCUACGGGAGGCAGCAGUGGGGAAUAUUGCACAAUGGGCGAAAGCCUGAUGCAGCGACGCCGCGUGAGUGAAGAAGUAUUUCGGUAUGUAAAGCUCUAUCAGCAGGGAAGAAAAUGACGGUACCUGACUAAGAAGCCCCGGCUAACUACGUGCCAGCAGCCGCGGUAAUACGUAGGGGGCAAGCGUUAUCCGGAUUUACUGGGUGUAAAGGGAGCGUAGACGGCGAAGCAAGUCUGAAGUGAAAACCCAGGGCUCAACCCUGGGACUGCUUUGGAAACUGUUUUGCUAGAGUGUCGGAGAGGUAAGUGGAAUUCCUAGUGUAGCGGUGAAAUGCGUA
rnacentral:rRNA from 1 species